rnacentral:misc_RNA from 1 species
CGUAGGUGAACCUGCGGAAGGAUCAUUAGUGAAUUGAAUAUGUUAGCGGACCUCUUCGGAGUCCCUAGCAUCAAAUCAUAUCCAUAACACCUGUGGACUGUAAGGCUGUCUUGAAAACGAAAGUGAUUAGAGCGCCUGCCCAUUUUAUACAAACAUUAAAGUAACAAACGUGGUCUUAUUAUAAUCUAAUAAAACUUUCAACAACGGAUCUCUUGGCUCUC